rnacentral:rRNA from 1 species
GGGACACGUGGUAUCCUGUCUGAAUAUGGGGGGACCAUCCUCCAAGGCUAAAUACUCCUGACUGACCGAUAGUGAACCAGUACCGUGAGGGAAAGGCGAAAAGAACCCCGGCGAGGGGAGUGAAAAAGAACCUGAAACCGUGUACGUACAAGCAGUGGGAGCACCCUUUGGGGUGUGACUGCGUACCUUUUGUAUAAUGGGUCAGCGACUUAUAUUCUGUAGCAAGGUUAACCGAAUAGGGGAGCCGGAGGGAAACCGAGUCUUAAUUGGGCGUUAAGUUGCAGGGUAUAGACCCGAAACCCGGUGAUCUAGCCAUGGGCAGGUUGAAGGUUGGGUAACACUAACUGGAGGACCGAACCGACUAAUGUUGAAAAAUUAGCGGAUGACCUGUGGCUGGGGGUGAAAGGCCAAUCAAACCGGGAGAUAGCUGGUUCUCCCCGAAAGCUAUUUAGGUAGCGCCUCGUGAAUUCAUCUCCGGGGGUAGAGCACUGUUUCGGCUAGGGGGCCAUCCCGGCUUACCAACCCGAUGCAAACUGCGAAUACCGGAGAAUGUUAUCACGGGAGACACACGGCGGGUGCUAACGUCCGUCGUGAAGAGGGAAACAACCCAGACCGCCAGCUAAGGUCCCAAAGUCAUGGUUAAGUGGGAAACGAUGUGGGAAGGCCCAGACAGCCAGGAUGUUGGCUUAGAAGCAGCCAUCAUUUAAAGAAAGCGUAAUAGCUCACUGGUCGAGUCGGCCUGCGCGGAAGAUGUAACGGGGCUAAACCAUGCACCGAAGCUGCGGCAGCGACACUCAGGUGU